UGCACCGUCCGAGCCCUGGGCUCAGGCUUCUUCCCGGUGGAGUUCUUGGACCGAUCAGGUGAGCCACAGGCCUGGGCCGGCCAAGCGAGGGUGAGACUGGUCAGGUGCUGAAGUCAAAGAAAGUUUCUCCUGAGCUUGUGAUUCCUCUCAACUCUUACUGUUGUUACCCUUACUAUUAUGUGCAGCCAAAAUGUCAUUCCCGUUCGGAGUUCAGAUUAAUACCUGCAUUAAAAAAAAAAAAAUUGAAAUUGUUCACUUGCGUUAUGACCUCCCUCCAUCUUUAUCCUUUCAGCCCUGUGCACUUGAGAGUAAAGAUGAGCGUGCAUGCCCUCGGGCUGGUAAAGGGAGGUGGACAUGUGAAGCAAAUCUCUUGAAGGCCCCCAAGAGGAGAUUUGAAGCAAAGUCUUAGAGAGAGAGGUGGGGGUGGGGGAAUGGUAGGGUGCAUCUGAGGCACGGAUGAGCACUGGGGCCUUGGAGGCGAUGAGAUGGCUGAGGGACAUGAUGGAGGAAGGGGCUAGAUCAGUGUUAAGUGGACUACCAUAUUUGGGAACAGCAAAUUUCCUUGGAAAAGCAAAACAUUUGAAGGGUACAAACAUUUGAAGACCCCAGGGUCCUAGAGGAUGGAGCUUUCUAAGGGUGCUGGAGCAGCAGCUUACAAUGAAAAAUCAAGUAGGAUGACCUCACUCUCAGACUUGGUUCAGAAAGUCUUUACUCAUAUCUGUCCUCAGUGGAUAAAGGGGAAUGCAGAAGGAGACUGUCUUCCCUGCAAGUGUUCAGGUGUGUAAUUGCAGGACCUGUGGCAACCCGGACCGUGCCUCAGAAGGGGGACUGCUUCAGGGGCAGUGUGCAUCAGCAGACACGUUCUCUAAGGGCUCCCAUUGAUAUCUUUCUUUGCCCACAAGAUGUCAGACUCUUCUGACCACAAAAAUACUGUUGAAAAGAAAACUCUAUAAGAAAGGAACAUUUAAUAAGAAAACAAAGGGGGUGAAGUUGAAAAGUAUAAUAGAAAUGGAAAAAAACAAGAUAAAAUUGUGGAACUUUCAGAAAGUAAAAACUAAAAUGAAAAAUAGAAAACAAAGAUAAAAUUAGAAGACCAGUUCAAACAGCCCAAUGUUUAAUUGAUAGUAAUUCCAGAAACAAAGAGAUCAGGAACCAGAGAACUUAACAAUGAAAUCAUUCAAGAAAACAUCUCCAAACUAAAGGACAGGGAUUUCCAGAUGAAUGCCUUAGUGCUCAGUACAAUAGGGGGGAAAAAAAGGAAGACGAAGAAGAAAAAGAGCAAUCCCAGGGUAUACCAUGAGGAAAUUUCAGAAACACUGAGAACAAAAUUUUAGAGGGAAGAAAAUUAAAAAAGGAAGAAGAAUCAGAAUGGUUUCAGAUUUCUCAACUUCAACACUGGAAGCUUAAAAAAAAUGGAGCAAAUGUUUUCAAAUUUCCAAUACAAAGGAAUUUCUAACUUUCAAUAUUGGCAAGAGCCUUCUGAUCAUUGUAGACUGUAAUUCAGGAGAAAAUACAAGUCUGUCCAAAUAAAAGACAUUCUUCCAUA